UACGGAGGGUGCAAGCGUUACUCGGAAUCACUGGGCGUAAAGCGCGCGCAGGCGGCCUUUUAAGUUGGAUGUGAAAGCCUAUGGCUCAACCAUAGAACUGCAUCCAAAACUAUCAGGCUAGAGUGUGGGAGAGGAAGAUGGAAUUAGUUGUGUAGGGGUAAAAUCCGUAGAGAUAACUAGGAAUACCAAGAGCGAAGGCAAUCUUCUGGAACAUUACUGACGCUGAGGCGCGAAAGCGUGGGGAGCAAACAGGAUUAGAUACCCUGGUAGUCCACGCCCUAAACGAUGAAUGUUAGUCGUCGGGUAGCUAGUCUAUUCGGUGAUGCAGCUAACGCAUUAAACAUUCCGCCUGGGGAGUACGGUCGCAAGAUUAAAACUCAAAGGAAUAGACGGGGACCCGCACAAGUGGUGGAGCAUGUGGUUUAAUUCGAAGAUACGCGAAGAACCUUACCUAGCCUUGACAUAUUUUAGAACACUUUAGAGAUAGAGUGGUGCCUUCGGGAGCUAAUAUACAGGUGCUGCACGGCUGUCGUCAGCUCGUGUCGUGAGAUGUUGGGUUAAGUCCCGCAACGAGCGCAACCCUCGUCACUAGUUACUAACGGUUCGGCCGAGGACUCUAGUGAGACUGCCUUCGUAAGGAGGAGGAAGGUGAGGACGACGUCAAGUCAUCAUGGCCCUUACGGCUAGGGCAACACACGUGCUACAAUGGCCAGGACAAUGAGACGCGAUACCGCGAGGUGGAGCAAAUCUAUAAACCUGGUCUCAGUUCGGAUUGUAGUCUGCAACUCGACUACAUGAAGCUGGAAUCACUAGUAAUCGUAGAUCAGCUAUGCUACGGUGAAUACGUUCCCGGGUCUUGUACACACCGCCCGU
rnacentral:rRNA from 1 species